rnacentral:rRNA from 1 species
AUUUCUGCGGUGCCCGUACCGCAAACCGACACAGGUAGGUAGGAAGAAGAUUCUAAGGCCAACGGGAGAAGGGUUGUUAAGGAACUCGGCAAAUUGACCCCGUAACUUCGGGAGAAGGGGUGCUGCAGCAAUGCAGCCGCAGAGAAUCGGCCCAAGCAACUGUUUACCAAAAACACAGGUUUGUGCUAAAUCGAAAGAUGACGUAUACGAGCUGACGCCUGCCCGGUGCUGGAAGGUUAAGAGGAGAUGUGCAAGCAUUGAAUCGAAGCCCCAGUGAACGGCGGCCGUAACUAUAACGGUCCUAAGGUAGCGAAAUUCCUUGUCAGGUAAGUUCUGACCCGCAUGAAAGGCGUAAUGAUUUGGGCACUGUCUCAACAGCCCGCCCGGCGAAAUUGUAGUACCGGUGAAGAUGCCGGUUACCCGCGACAAGACGGAAAGACCCCAUGGAGCUUUACUGUAGCCUAAUAUUGGGUUUCGAUGUUGCAUGCACAGGAUAGAUGGGACACUGGGAAGCAGGUGCUUUGGCGCUUGUGGAGUGGCCGUUGGGAUACCAUCCUUGCGAUAUUGGAAUUCUAACCUGCGCCUUUGAAUCAAGGCGGGGGACAUUGUUAGGUGGGCAGUUUGACUGGGGCGGUCGCCUCCUAAAGAGUAACGGAGGCGUUCAAAGGUUCGCUCAGCUUGAACGGAAAUCAAGCAAAAGAGUGCAAACGCAGAAGCGAGCCUAACUGCGAGACUGACGGGUCGAGCAGUAACGAAAGUUGGAGUUAGUGAUCCGGUGGUAUGUGAGUGGAAAUGCCAUCGCUCAACGGAUAAAAGUUACCCUGGGGAUAACAGGCUGAUCUCCCCCAAGAGUCCACAUCGACGGGGAGGUUUGGCACCUCGAUGUCGGCUCAUCGCAUCCUGGGGCUGUAUUCGGUCCCAAGGGUUUGGCUGUUCGCCAAUUAAAGCGGUACGCGAGCUGGGUUCAGAACGUCGUGAGACAGUUCGGUCCCUAUCUGUCGUGGGCGCAGGAUAUUUGAUGGGAGCUGUUCCUAGUACGAGAGGACCGGAGCGGACGUACCUCUGGCGCACCAGUUGUUCUGCCAAGAGCAUAGCUGGGCAACUAUGUACGGAUCGGAUAAACGCUGAAAGCAUCUAAGCGUGAAGCCGACCCAAAGAUAAGAUAUCCCAUUGUUUCAAACAAGUAAGACCCCUUGAAGACUACAAGGUUGAUAGGCACGAUGUGUAAGUGGAGUGAUCCAUUCAGCAAGCGUGUACUAAUAGGUCGAGGGCUUGACCACA